rnacentral:rRNA from 1 species
UACGAAGGGGGCUAGCGUUGUUCGGAAUUACUGGGCGUAAAGGGCGCGUAGGCGGUCCUGAUCGUCGGAUGUGAAAGGCCUGGGCUCAACCUGGGAACUGCAUCCGAUACGGCGGGACUGGAGUGUGGGAGAGGUUGGUGGAAUUCCCAGUGUAGAGGUGAAAUUCGUAGAUAUUGGGAAGAACACCGGUGGCGAAGGCGGCCAACUGGACCACAACUGACGCUGAGGCGCGAAAGCGUGGGGAGCAAAC